GGGAGCUUGGCUCAGUCGGAAGAGCGCAGGUCUCAUACUAUCGUAUGACCCGGUGCCCUCAAGCACCAGGAUAUCCUGAGGUCGUGAGUUCGAGCCUCACAGUUCCCA
rfam:Myceliophthora thermophila ATCC 42464 chromosome 4, complete sequence.